AUUGAACGCUAGCGGGAGGCUUUACACAUGCAAGUCGAACGGAGUGGCGGACGGGUGAGUAAUAUAUCGGAAUGUGCCCAGUAGCGGGGGAUAACUACUCGAAAGAGUGGCUGAUACCGCACACUAUUGGAGCGGCCGAUAUCGGAUUAGCUAGUGGGUGGGGUAAAGGCUCACCAAGGCGACGACCCGUAGCUGGUUUGAGAGGAGGACCAGCCACACUGGAACUGAGACACGGCCCAGACUCCUACGGGAGGCAGCAGUGGGGAAUAUUGGACAAUGGGGGAAAGCCGGAUCCAGCCAUCCCGCGUGUAUGAUGAAGGCCUUCGGUUUGUAAAGUACUUUUAGCAGAGAAGCGGUAUCUGCAGAAUAAGCACCGGCUAACUACGUGCCAGCAGCCGCGGUAAUAC
rnacentral:rRNA from 1 species